rnacentral:lncRNA from 1 species
GAAACCCUAACCCUAAAGGAGCAUUGGAAUUUCGUGGCAAGGAGGCAAAGCUUCAUCACAUAUCAGAUUCCAUUCCACUUCUAUUUUCCAUUAGGUAAUCAUCUCUUCCAUGGCCAUGUUUUGAUAUAUCUACGCUUGCUUACCAUGUUCAUCACCAUUAAUCCUUCCAUUUUCAUAUUUCUUUUUCUUAUUUAAAAUAUUUUCUUCGUCCAUAAAAUUACCCAAAAAUAUUUUUCACUUUUCUUAACGUUUUAUUUAAUUUUAUAUAAUUUUUAUUUUCGUAUUUUUUUAAUAUUAAUAUUUUAUUUUAAUUAUUUAUUCUAAAUGGUCCAUUUUAACACACUUUUUUUAUUGAUUUUAUUUUUAUGACUUAAAAUUAUUGUUAGCAUUUUAUUUUUGGGAUGAAGGUUGACCACUGUCUCAUGGUCAACCUGAGCUUUUCUUGGAAUUUUAUUUCACAUUUUCAAUUUAUUUUGGAUUUAGUUUUGACCUAGUUUGGUUGGUGGACUUUUAAUUUGACUUCUGUUUUAUUUUAAUUAAUUCACGUACCAAUUUUCAUUAUUUUUAAAAUCUUUUUGGGGGAUGAUGAUUUCCUGACUCCACCAUAUUUAGUUUAGUUUUUCAUAAUUUUCUUGAUUAAUUUACUAUUUAUUCUUGAUUUAUUUCUAACCUAGUCUUAUUAAUUGACUUUUGGUUUGACCUAUGUUUUGUUUUAAUUAAUUCACGUGCCAAUUUUCAUUAUUUUUAAAAUCUUUUUGGGGGAUGAUGAUGUUCUGACCCCAACUUAUUUAGUUUAAUUUUUCAUAAUUUUCUUGAUUAAUUUGCUAUUUAUUUGUUAUUUUUUAAGUUGACUUGAAUUUUCAGUUGACUUCUUUAUGAUCGAUGUUUGACUUAGGGAUUGCUUAUGGCAAUUGAAGAGAUCUUUUGAUCCUCCCUCGUUCAUCUCAUAUGCCAUGUAUUAGAGGCCUUUUACCUUGAUUUUAUUUGGUCCUUACCUCAUUUCCUGAUUAAAUUAUUCAGUGGACCCUUCGUGUGCAUAUUUUCAUCUGUUUGAUUCAUCUGUUAUCUUUUAUACUUGUUUCUCUCAUUCAUGCUUUCUAUUGCUUGAUUAUUUAACAUGUUCAUACUCCCAUGCAUUGUUUAAAUGCUCCAUUAUUUGAUUCUUUGGUUUGAUUAUAUAUUGUUUAUUUAUCCGAUCUGAUUGAUAACUGUUGCCUACUUGUAUGAUGUAUGAGGCAUAUAUUCUUAUUGUUUGUUUGCCAUGAACAAUCCUCAUUCAUAACAAAUGUACCCCUCUCCCAUAAAGUGUAUAAUAUUUAUUUCUUUAUUUCUUUAGUCACCUGUUAAUACAAGAAUUAAAACGAACAUCCGAUAACCAUUUCAAAAUAAGAUCAAAAGCUCGAUCCAACGUCGAGUAAUCAUUUUCAAAACUUAGCAGAACCAGCACGCAUUCAUCCAUCCUCUUGUAAGUCGAUUGCCUCCAGCAUCGCCAUCUACCUGUAAGUCGAUUGCCUCCGGCAUCACCAUCUACCCUUAUCCAUAACUCCUCUCCGCGCUCCAUCCGUCGACUCUUGUCCCAUUUAGGUAGCACCCAUUAGGUAGAACCCUUUGUAUGAUAACAUAGGUAGAAUUCCCUUAGUCUUUGCAUGCUAACAUUAGGUCAAUGUUCCCCUUUGUAAAUCCUAACACAUAGGUCCAUAUUGCAUGACAACUCUAGAGAAGAGCUUCCCAACUUUUAGACCUUCCGUGCAUCUUCGAUCUUGUGGCAUGUCAGUCCGUUCUAUUGCAAAGAGGUAACUGCCUAAGACUCGAUUCAACGAGCUGCGACACCUACUGCUAGGACGUUGAACACACUGCCCACCCUCCUUUGACACAGCUGGUGUCCUCUUUUGUAAGUCCAUGUUCAGAUGGCAAUCCUUAACCCCUAGUUAGCCGAACUACGUUUUUCUCUGAUUCUCAUUCCAGAUGAGAUACGUAGGCAUAAGACGCGACGUCUUACCGAGCACACUUCUCUUUAACCCAUAGGUAGCCGAGCUACGAAGACUCUGAUUCUCAUACUCAGAUGAGAUACGUAGGCAGUGGAUGCGACAUCCUUGCGAGUCAUUUUCUUUUAACCUUCCUUUUAGUAAAUAGUACUUUAGAUAUACCUACACCCUUUAGACUAGAACAACACUUAUGAAAAGGGCUCCCUAGGAGUACCUAGGAUGUUUUGGGUGCUUAAAACCUUCCCAUUGCAUAACCAACCCCCUUACCCAGAUCUCUGACAUUUUUACUAGUUUUUGAUUCGAUAAAACUUUUAGGUUUUUGUUCGCUUUCUAACCAUUCCUUUGGAUAAAUAGAAGUGCGGUGGCGACUCGACUUGUAUGGUUUACCUUGGAUUUAGUCAAUAUCUCUAAUGGUAACGAAUACCCCGCUACAGAAAAGUGGCGACUCUGCUGGGGACUAUCAUUUGCCUAGUGGGUUUUGCCUACUUUUCAUAUUUGUUGUAUUGUAUGGUAUAUUGUUUUGUGACAUAUUUUUGUGCAAUUUGGGAUUACUGUAUUGUAUGUAAUGAUUGAAUUGUUUGAAUAUUAAUUCCUUGUAUGCUUGGUGAUCUUUGUGAGAUGAGUUCUAUACCCGAACUCGAGUGCACUUAGGAUAGGAGAAUGGCAUAGUCUUGUUGACUUGUGUGGAGUUAUUCCUUAGCAAGUUGACUUGCAAGCCCAUUCACUUGGUGGAGGUUAUGUUGGGAUCAAUAAUGUCACACGAGUAGUCGUGGUUAGGCAUUACUCUUUCCAAUAUAUGCCUUAGAAGCCAAGGACCUUAGUUUACCACGCCCAUCUUGGCCUAUUUUUAGGACGUAGUGCGAAGGUCGUUCAAGUGUAAGAUUUGAUACGAUUGUUACGCGAUACUACACUCAUAAGAGUCUCUCUUGAGAAUAUUUUUGGAAUACGAGUAGUCGUUUAUCCGAUAAUAUCCGAAAGAUGGGAUGAUGACUAUGGGAACCUCUUGUAGAACAUGAUUGUCAGGUUUAACCAUAGUACACUCCCUUUGGGUGGUUCUUAACCAAGACUCCAUGCUCGCGACUCGCAACAAACCCUUGAUUCGUGGUUGAUCCGUUCUUGUGUAUCCUUAAUAUCAAUGGAACUUGGGUGUUGAUAAGGUGUAAACCAUAAUCCACCAAAAUGGAUGAUUGAUAUUAAGGAUGACUUGAUCCAUCCCAUGACCUUUGUGUGGUGUGAUUUGCUUGAUCCUUGAGUGUGAUUGUUGCAUCCAUGCAUUCAUGCAUUCAUACACAUCCAUAUCAUCAACAAUGAGAAAAUUUUCAAGGAACUUAAGAGGUCUAUUUGCAAAUUUUCAGACAUGGAUAAGCAAAGAAGGAAUACGAAGAAGUACAGUUUCAGACAACCCGACUUGAAAGAGUUAAGGAGUUUGACAUCCUAUGUAUUAGAUCCCUUGGAAUUCAAGGCUCGUCAUGGGAAGCUUCUGUCUAUUCUGGCUACUCAAGUGGAUGAAGGUCUAAUGAGUGUGUUGGUGCAGUUCUAUGAUCCCUUGUACCGUUGCUUCACUUUUCCGGAUUUCUAGCUUUUGCCCACGCUUGAGAAGUAUGCCUAUCUUGUGGGCAUACCUAUCCUAGACCAGUUGUCGUUCAGUGGCUUGGAGAGAGUUCCUUCUUCUCAAGAGAUUGUUGAUCUGUUGCGUAUAGAUGAAUCUAUUAUUGGUGCUCAUAUGACUACCAAAGGUGGAAUUCAAGGUCUCCCGUAUGAUUUCCUCAUUGAUCAAGCUACUAUGUUUGGGAAGGCCAUGAGUGAGGACGCCUUUGAGGCUAUAUUUGUACUUCUCAUCUAUGGGCUAGUGUUAUUUCCCAACAUCGACAACUUCGUGGAUGUGAAUGCUAUUAGGGUUUUCUCUUCUCUUAAUCCCGUUGCGACUCUGUUGGGUGACACUUAUUUCUCUUUGCAUAUGAGGAAUGCAAAGGGUGGUGGUUCCAUUGUGUGUUGUCUGCCUCUGUUGUACAAGUGGUUUAUUUCUCACUUGCCUCAGACACUUGCCUUCAAGGAGAACAAGAGAUGUCUACGGUGGUCCACGAGACUUAUGUCUCUCACUAAUGAUGAUAUAUCUUGGUAUAAUCUUGUUUAUGAUGGUGUGCAUAUCAUCGACUCUUGUGGUGAAUUCUCCAAUGUACCUCUUCUUGGUACAUGCGGUGGAAUUAACUACAACCCGCUUUGGCUCGCCGUCAGCUUGGGUUCCCCUUAAAGGAUAAACCUAACAACAUUUCGUUGGAAGGUUUAUUCUUUCAAGAGGGUAAAGAUCCCCAAAACUUGAAGGAUAGGAUGGUCCGCGCUUGGCGCAAGAUCCAUAAGAAAGGUAGGAAGGAGCUAGGUCCGAAGAACUGUAUCGCUUUGGAACCCUAUACCUCUUGGGUUAGGAGGAGAUCUUUCGAGUACCUCAUGCCUUAUGAGUAUCAAAGACUCACACCUUUGGUUGUGGCUAGGCCUUCAACCCUCCCUAGCCAAGGAGUAGAGGAGUUGAGAGACGAAGAUCGUUCGCGUGCUUGGAUCCGUGAACGAGAGGAGUUGCUUCAGCAGAUCAGAGAGAAGGAUGCUUUGAUAGAGUUCCUUGAGCACCAGGUUAUUGAUGAUCCUGAUGACGCAUUGACUUCUCUACUUCCUCAGUCUUCCAAGUUUUGGAAGAGGAAGUAUGAUCGACUCGCCAAAGAGAAGGCAGAUAUGGAGGCAGCCUAUGAGAGGGAGGUGAAGAGGCUUCGUGCAGCUUAUCUUCCGGUCUCGAGGGCUUUGGACGAUUGCUUCUAGGGAUCCAUAGGAUGUUCAUUUUCCUUCUCUCUUGUAUUGUAUUUGGUUACCAAGACUGUACUUCUUUGGCGUAAAAACAUUUCCAAAUAUUAAUUGACGUGAUAUUUCCGUAUGUGAUAAACGUUUAAUAUUUCCAAAAUUUGCAAAUAAGACUCUAAAGUUCCUCUGAUAUAAAAAUUAAAUCAUAAGCAUUGCAUGCAUCAUGUUUAUCUAUUCCUAGGGGUUUAUAUCUUCUUCUUGAUUCUAGUCGGGGUUUUCUUACACUGUUUAUCUAAUGUGAGACUGGAAUCAAGGGGUAGAAUACCCUUUGAAAUUGAUAAACAUGUCAUUGCAUUUGCAUAUUCAUUAGCAUGUCUUGCAUAACAGGUACCGCCGCAGUGUUCUCAUCUUGUUUGGUAUUCCAUUAUUAGGAUAGCUGACUCAGGCAUUCACCGAUACGGUACCCGAAGGAAUCAACAGAGAGCAAUGGAAGGUUUACAAGCAGAGCUCGCUGAGAUGAGGAUUCGCAUGAAUCAGUUCAUGGAAGUGGUCCAAGGAGUGGCUCAGGGACAGCAGGAGAUUAGAUUGUUGGUACAGGGGAAUCCCCCUACUACUCAACCGGAGGUUGUGGCUGAUCCUCCCGCUGGAGAGGCUAAUGGACCCAAUGGACCGGGGCCUAUCCCAAUCCCACAUGGCAACCUUGGUCAACAACCCAUCCAUGAUGAUCAGGAGGAUCAAUUCCCCCUGCUUCAGGAGGACUUUGGCAUGGGCCAUGGUAUGGACCCUAUGUUUCGGAGACUGGAAGAGAGGUUGAAAGCUGUGGAAGGGCAGAAUGCUCUUGGUGUGGAUGUUGCUGACUUGGGGUUGGUCCCAGGCGUGAGAGUUCCGCCAAAAUUCAAAGUCCCCGUGUUUGAUAAGUACAAUGGCAACUCUUGCCCGAAGACUCAUGUACAAGCUUACUUCCGCAAGAUGAUCGCGUAUUCUGAUGAUGAGAAGCUGCUCAUGUACUUCUUCCAGGACAACCUAGCUGGGGCAUCCUUGGAGUGGUAUAUGAGGCUGGACAGAGCCCAUAUUCGCUGCUGGAGAGACUUGGCUGAGGCCUUUGUGAAGCAAUAUCAGUACAAUGCGGAUAUGGCACCUGACAGGACUCAGCUCCAGAAUCUGUCUCUCAAGAGCAACGAGUGCUUCAAAGAGUAUGCUCAACGCUGGAGAGAGUUGGCUUCCCGUGUUCAGCCUCCGAUGUUGGAAAAAGAGAUGGCCAACAUGUUUAUGAACACACUUCCUGGAUCUUAUUUGGAGCGUCUGGUGGGUUGCAACGCCUCGAAUUUUGCUGAUGUGGUCUCUACCGGUGAGAGGGUGGAGAACUACUUGAAGACAUGUAAGAUCCAAAAUGGGGUUGGAUCAUCUUCGGGGUCAAAGAAGCCGUUCUUAGGAGGACAGAAGAGGAGAGAAGGGGAUGCAAAUGCCAUAUCUUCUUAUCAGAACAGGGGUAACCGGAGGAAUAACUUUCAGAAUUACCAUCAACAACCUUAUGUUGCAGCAGUGACCAUUCCGGCUACAGCACCAGUGCAACAACAACAACCUCAACGUCAACAAAAUCAAUACCAACAACAACAGGGUAACAGACCUGCUUAUCAACAGAGACAGAGGAUGAUGGAUAGGCGUUUCGACACUCUUCCGAUGUCGUAUGCCCAGUUGCUUCCCAACCUUCAACAUUUGCAACUUGUGCAGUUACGCACUUUGGCUCCUCCCGUUGGCAGGCUUCCAGUGGGUUAUGACGCCAAUGCUAGGUGUAAUUUCCACUCUGGGGCACCUGGCCACACUAUUGAGAACUGCAAAGCUUUUAAGCACGUAGUUCAGGACCUUAUUGAUUCAAAGGCCAUUAACUUUGCGCCGGCUCCUAAUGUUGUCAACAAUCCUAUGCCGCAGCAUGGUAGAGCAAAUGUUAACAUGGUUGAAGGAGAAGUCAAAUUAGUCAAGGAGGUGUUAAAGCUGAAGACUCUGCUAUUAGAAAUCAAAGAAUACUUGCUAAAGGCAGAUGUUUUCCCCGACUGUGGGAGUGGUUGUUUGGGUUGUGUUGCACAGAGUGGGGGUUGUGUGAAGCUGCAGUAGGGUAUCCAGGCCUUGCUUGACGAUGGUAUCCUCCAAGUUGAAGACUUAUAUGCCCAAAGGUCUCUUGAAGGGGUUGUUGAAGGGGUUGUUGAGAAUUCAGAUGUUGAUCCUCUCUUUCUUGAAGAUGCUGAAGAAUUUACAAAUGUUGUUCCUGCUGAUUUUAUAAUUCCCAAUGAUGUAAUUAAUUUUUCUAAUGUUGUUGCUGAUAUUCCAAACAUGGUGUUUGAUUCUGAUGUACUUACUGAACUUGAUUCCGAUGUUUCGGAUGUUUGUACUUCAAAAAAUAAGAUUUCUGAGUAUGACUGUGACGUUGCCACUAUCACAAUUUUCUACCCGACCGCUCAGAUCAGUGCGCCAGUAGCGCAAUCGGUACCACCAGUGCGACCGCAUCAAUCCACUAUGACCAUCACGACCCCUGGUCCUUUACCUUUCACCAGCGAAAGGGUCAUUCCUUGGCAUUACGUGGGGAGUGUAUACACGCAUGAUCAUGGAGUGGAGCAGCCACUGAAAGUAGAAGAGGUGCAGGAUCAGAAGUCUGAACCUGGAAUUGAGAUAAAAGAUCCCGCAGUGGACAAUGUUUGUGGAAUCGAGCGAUUCACCAGAAGUGGUAGACUGUUCUCACCACCGGUUACCCAACCUGAUAGUGUUGACGCCGCGGCGAAGGCCAAAGGCAAGCAAGUUGUGAAUGAGGGUACCUCUGCACCACAAGCUGGCUCUGAGCCUGCUUUUGCGAAGGAUGUGGACGAACUUUUGAGAAUUAUAAAGAAAAGCGAUUACAAGGUAGUCGAUCAGUUGAUUCAGACGCCAUCCAAGAUAUCUAUUCUCUCACUCCUGCUGUGUUCGGAGGCACACAGUGAGGCACUCCUGAAGGUCCUUAAUGCUGCAUAUGUGCCUUAUGAGAUCUCAGUGAACCAACUAGAAGGGAUUGUUGCAAAUGUUCAUGCAAGCAACGGGUUGGGUUUACUGAUUCUGACUUGACACCGGCUGGACGCAAUCAUAACAAGGCUUUGCACAUCUCGAUGGAGUGUAAAGACACUGUGAUAUCCCAUGUUCUGGUGGAUAUAGGAUCCUCUCUCAAUGUGCUACCCAAGAGAGCCCUGUCAAGGUUAGAUGUAGAAGGUUUGAUCUUGAAGCCUUCCGAUCUUGUGGUAAGAGCCUUCGAUGGUUCUAAGAGAUCGGUGUUCAGAGUGGUAGAAUUGCCAAUUCAGAUUGGAUCACAAACCUUUAACACCAUAUUCUAUGUGAUGGAUAUCAGUCCUUCGUAUAGCUGCUUGCUGGGUCGUCCUUGGACCCACAAUGCUGGGGCAGUCUCCUCGACCUUGCAUCAGAAUAUCAAGUUCCCGGUCAACGGAAGAAUUAUCACUGUCUGUGGUGAGGAGGAUAUUCUGGUCAGUAACCUGUCUACAUUCAAGUAUGUAGAGGUAGAAGGUGAGAUUCAUGAGACCCUGUGUCAGGCCUUUGAGGCAGUUCAAGUCAAGGAUGCAGCUCCAGUGGAAGAGGUUGAAGCAGGUGCAUCUUUGUCGUCCUUCAAGCAGGCACAGGCCUUGGUAAAUUCAGGUGUCGCUCCCGGUUGGGGACGUCUGGUGGAUUUACCUAUAAAGGAAGACAAGUUUGGGAUUGGGUAUCAGUCGGCAUUGACGUCUACAACUUCAACGCCUCAGACUCGUCAGGGGCCGAUUACUUUCUCUAGUGUUGGCAUCAUUCAGUACGGCCAGAUCUCUGCAAUCAACAAAGAAGAUGGGGAUAGUGAUUGCGACAUUGACAACUAGGUGCAUCCAAGGGUCCCGGGUGAAGUUCUCCGCAACUGGUCUUCUGAAGAGAUUAUCCAAGUCACUCUUCUUAAAGAGUAAUUUUCUUUGUUUUUUCUUGCAUAUCCAAGUCUUACGUUCCGCCCAGGGCGUGAUGACUCAUUGUAGGGCUCAUCUAUGUGGAUACCUGCAUUUUUUAUCAUAAAUAAAGGACGUCUUUUUGCAUUCAAAUAUUUUGUUCACUGUCUUUCUAUUUUUGCAGUUUUCAAAAAUCAAAAAUAUAAAAAAAAAAAUAUACAUUUGGCAAUGUUUUGUUUAGUUUCCACUUCUUGUUCACACUCAUAAGCACAUACCAUCACUCAUGCAGAUGCACGUCACCGGAUCCUAUUGAUAACAGUUCUGCUAUGGCUCGCUUCGACUUUGAAAAUCCAAUCUUUCAAGCUGAAGAAGAGGGUGAUGAAGACUGUGAACUCCCUGAAGAACUUGCCAGGUUAUUAAAACAGGAGGAAAGGGUCAUUCAACCGCAUCAAGAGUCUGUUGAAGUGAUUAAUCUCGGCACCGAGGACGCCAAGAGAGAAAUCAAGAUAGGGGCUGCUUUGGAAGAUAAUGUGAAGAAGGGGCUGAUUGAAUUGCUGCAAGAGUAUGUUGACAUCUUCGCUUGGUCUUAUCAGGACAUGCCAGGGCUUGACACAGACAUUGUGGUACACCGUUUGCCUCUCAAAGAGGAUUGUCCUCCGGUCAAGCAGAAGCUCAGAAGAACAAGACCAGAGAUGGCUGUCAAGAUAAAGGAAGAAGUGCAAAAACAGUUGGAUGCAGGGUUUCUAGCAGUCACCAAUUAUCCGCCAUGGGUUGCAAACAUCGUCCCAGUACCUAAGAAGGAUGGAAAGGUACGGAUGUGUGUCGACUACCGGGAUCUGAACAGAGCUAGCCCUAAAGAUGAUUUCCCAUUACCUCACAUCGACGUUUUGGUGGAUAAUACAGCUCAGUUCUCGGUAUUCUCCUUCAUGGAUGGCUUUUCUGGCUAUAACCAAAUCAAGAUGGCACCAGAAGACAUGGAGAAGACAACUUUCAUAACCCCAUGGGGCACCUUCUGCUACAAGGUGAUGCCGUUUGGUCUGAAAAAUGCCGGAGCAACAUAUCAACGAGCUAUGGUAACUCUGUUCCAUGAUAUGAUUCAUCAUGAAAUCGAGGUUUAUGUGGAUGAUAUGAUUGCCAAAUCUCAGACAGAAGAAGAACAUUUGGUGAAUUUGCAGAAACUGUUUGAGCGUUUGAGGAAAUUCAAGCUGAGGCUUAAUCCGAACAAGUGUACUUUUGGGGUGAGAUCUGGAAAACUACUGGGUUUUGUUGUUAGCGGAAAAGGGAUUGAGGUGGAUCCGGCCAAAGUGAAAGCGAUACAGGAAAUGCCUGAGCCAAGAACAGAGAAACAAGUCUGUGGUUUCUUAGGGAGGUUGAACUACAUUGCAAGGUUCAUCUCUCACCUAACAGCCACGUGUGAGCCAAUAUUCAAAUUGUUGAGAAAAGAUCAGGCUAUCAGGUGGAAUGAUGAUUGUCAAAGGGCGUUCGAGAAGAUAAAAGAGUAUUUGCAGAAUCCUCCUAUCCUUGUGCCUCCGGUCCCAGGGAGACCGCUGAUUAUGUAUUUGACAGUACUAGACAAUUCCAUGGGUUGUGUUCUCGGUCAACACGACGAGACAGGUAGGAAAGAGCAUGCCAUCUACUACCUGAGUAAGAAAUUCACAGAUUGCGAGUCGAGAUACUCAAUGCUUGAAAAAACAUGUUGUGCACUUGCAUGGGCUGCGAAGCGAUUGAGACAAUACAUGCUGUCUCACACAACCUUACUGAUCUCCAAAAUGGAUCCAGUCAAGUAUAUAUUUGAGAAGCCAGCUCUCACCGGAAGGGUUGCUCGUUGGCAAAUGGUACUGACAGAGUACGACAUCCAGUAUACAUCCCAGAAAGCCAUCAAAGGGAGUAUUCUGUCAGACUAUCUUGCUCAGUAGCCGAUUGAUGAUUAUGAGCCGAUGAAGUUUGAUUUUCCGGAUGAAGACAUCAUGUUCCUCGAGAUGAAAGACUGUGAAGAGCCAGUUGUUGAGGAGGGACCUGAUCCAGAUGAAAAGUGGACUUUAAUGUUUGAUGGGCCGUCAAUGCCAAAGGAAGUGGAAUUGGUGCUGUCAUUACCACCCCGAAAGGUGCCCACAUGCCUUUCACCGCUCGUCUGACUUUCGAGUGCACCAAUAAUGAAGCUGAGUAUGAGGCUUGUAUCUUGUGUAUCGAGCAAGCCAUUGAUUUGAGAAUCAAGACUCUAGACAUCUUCGGAGAUUCAGCUAUAGUGAUCAAUCAAGUGAAUGGUGAUUGGAAUACUCUCCGGCCUAAUCUAGUCCCCUACAGAGAGUACACGAGAAGACUGUUGACUUUAUUCACAACAGUAAAGCUAUAUCAUAUACCUCGUGACGACAAUCAGAUGGCAGAUGCUCUUGCUACUCUAUCCUCCAUGAUCAAGGUGAUUCGGUGGAACCAUGUUCCCAGGAUUGAUGUUAUGCGCCUUGAUAGGGCUGCGUAUGUGUUUGCUGCUGAAGUGGUAGUUGAUGACAAGCCAUGGUAUCACGACAUCAAGUGCUUUCUGAAGAAUCAAGAGUACCCUGCAGGGGAAUCCAACAAUGAUAGAAAGACUUUGAGAAGAUUGGCAGGAACUUUCUUCUUGAACAAAGACGAUGUGCUGUAUAAGAGGAACUUCGACAUGGUUUUGCUCAGAUGCAUGGAUAGACACGAAGCAGACAUGUUAAUGCAGGAAGUUCAUGAAGGCUCCUUCGGUACUCAUAAGGAUGGAAAGGUACGGAUGUGUGUUGACUACCGGGAUCUGAACAGAGCUAGUCCUAAAGAUGAUUUCCCAUUACCUCACAUCGACGUUUUGGUGGAUAACACGGCUCAGUUCUCGGUAUUCUCCUUCAUGAAUGGCUUUUCUGGCUAUAAUCAAAUUAAGAUGGCACCAGAAGACAUGGAGAAGACAACUUUCAUAACCCCAUGGGGCACCUUCUGCUACAAGGUGAUACCGUUUGGUCUGAGAAAUGCUGGGGAAACAUAUCAACGAGCUAUGGUAACUCUUUUCCAUGAUAUGAUUCAUCAUGAAAUCGAGGUUUAUGUUGAUGAUAUGAUUUCCAAAUCUCAGACGGAAGAAGAACAUCUGGUGAAUUUGCAGAAGCUGUUUGAGCGUUUGAGGAAAUUCAAGCUGAGGCUUAAUCUGGAAAAGUGUUGGGUUUUAUUGUUAGUGAAAAAGGGAUUGAGGUGGAUUCGGCCAAAGUGAAAGCAAUACCAGAAAUGCCUUAGCCAAGAACAGAAAAACAAGUUUGUGGUUUCUUAGGAAGGUUGAACUACAUUGCAAGGUUCAUCUCUCACCUAACAGCCACGUGUGAGCCAAUAUUCAAAUUGUUGAGAAAAGAUCAGGCCAUCAGGUGGAAUGAUGAUUGCCAAAGGGCUUUCGAGAAGAUAAAAGAGUAUUUGCAGAAUCCUCCAAUCCUUAUGCCUCCAGUCCCAGGGAGACCGCUGAUUAUGUAUUUGACAGUACUUGAUAAUUCCAUGGGUUGUGUUCUCGGUCAACACGACGAGACAGGUAGGAAAGAGCAUGCCAUCUACUACCUGAGUAAAAAAUUCACAGAUUGCGAGUCGAGAUACUCAAUGCUUGAAAAAACAUGUUGUGCACUUGCAUGGGCUGCUAAGCGAUUGAGACAAUACAUGCUGACUCACACAACCUUACUGAUCUCCAAAAUGGAUCCAGUCAAGUAUAUAUUUGAGAAGCCAGCUCUCACCGGAAGGGUUGCUCGUUGGCAAAUGGUACUGACAGAGUACGACAUCCAGUAUACAUCCCAGAAAGCCAUCAAAGGGAGUAUUCUGUCAGACUAUCUUGCUCAGCAGCCGAUUGAUGAUUAUGAGCCGAUGAAGUUUGAUUUUCCAGAUGAAGACAUCAUGUUCCUCAAGAUGAAAGACUGUGAAGAGCCAGUUGUUGAGGAGGGACCUGAUCCAGAUGAAAAGUGGACUUUAAUGUUUGAUGGGGCCGUCAAUGCCAAAGGAAGUGGAAUUGGUGCUGUCAUUACCACUCUGAAAGGUGCCCACAUGCCUUUCACCGCUCGUCUGACUUUCGAGUGCACCAAUAAUGAAGCUGAGUAUGAAGCCUGUAUCUUGGGUAUUGAGCAAGCCAUUGAUUUGAGAAUCAAGACUUUGGACAUCUUCGGAGAUUCAGCUCUGGUAAUCAAUCAAGUGAAUGGUGAUUGGAACACUCUCCAGCCUACUCUGGUCCCCUACAGAGAUUACACGAGAAGACUGUUGACUUUCUUCACAACAGUAAAGUUGUAUCAUAUACCUCGUGAUGAGAACCAGAUGGCAGAUGCUCUUGCUACUCUAUCCUCCAUGAUCAAGGUGAUUCGGUGGAACCAUGUUCCCAGGAUCGAUGUUAUGCGCCUUGAUAGGGCCGCGUAUGUGUUUGCUGCUGAACUGGUAGUUGAUGACAAGCCCUGGUAUCACGACAUCAAGUGCUUUCUGAAGAAUCAAGAGUACCCUGCAGGGGCAUCCAACAAUGAUAGAAAGACUUUGAGAAGAUUGGCAGGCAGUUUCUUCUUGAACAAAGACGAUGUGCUGUAUAAGAGGAACUUCGACAUGGUUUUGCUCAGAUGCGUGGAUAGACACGAAGCAGACAUGUUAAUGCAGGAAGUUCAUGAAGGCUCCUUCGGUACUCAUGCCGGCGGACAUGCAAUGGCUAAGAAAUUGUUGAGAGCGGGUUAUUACUGGAUGACCAUGGAAUCAGAUUGUUUCAAGUAUGCUCGGAAGUGUCAUAAAUGCCAGAUUUAUGCUGAUAAGGUGCAUGUACCGCCGAAUCCUCUGAAUGUGAUGUCUUCGCCGUGGCCGUUUGCUAUGUGGGGCAUUGACAUGAUUGGAAAGAUUGAGCCGACUGCUUCCAAUGGGCAUCGCUUCAUCCUUGUUGCCAUCGACUAUUUCACCAAGUGGGUCGAGGCAGCGUCGUUCGCGAAUGUCACCAGACAUGUGGUUGCCCGUUUCAUCAAGAAAGAAAUCAUUUGUCGCUAUGGGAUUCCCGAAAGAAUCAUUACUGAUAAUGGUUCUAAUCUCAACAACAAAAUGAUGAAGGAGUUGUGUCAGAACUUCAACAUUCAGCAUCACAAUUCUUCCCCUUACCGCCCUAAGAUGAACGGUGCUGUUGAGGCGGCAAAUAAGAACAUAAAGAAGAUUGUGCAGAAGAUGGUCGUUACGUACAGAGAUUGGCAUGAGAUGCUACCCUUCGCCUUGCAUGGGUACCGUACUUCAGUACGUACAUCGACCGGGGCAACCCCUUACUCCCUUGUGUAUGGUAUGGAAGCAGUCCUACCUGUUGAAGUGGAGAUUCCUUCUCUAAGAGUCCUGUUGGAUGUCAAGUUAGACGAAGCUGAAUGGAUUCGGACAAGGUUCAAUGAGUUGAGUCUUAUCGAAGAGAAGCGAAUGGCAGCCAUUUGUCAUGGGCAGUUGUAUCAGAGUCGGAUGAAGAGAGCCUUUGAUCAGAAAGUGCGUCCUCGUUGUUUCCAAGUCGGAGAUUUAGUGUUGAAAAGGAUCCUUCCUCCUCAGACAGAUCACAGGGGCAAGUGGACUCCUAACUAUGAUGGACCGUAUAUUGUCACCAAGGUUUUUGAUGGUGGGGCCUUAAUGCUUGCAACUAUGGAUGGUGAAAACUUCACUUCCCCUGUGAACUCAGACGCAGUUAAAAAAUACUUCGCAUAAAAUAGACCCGCUGGACAGUAAAAAGAAUAGUCCAGGCAAAAAUGGGCAUCCCGACGAACCAAGAAAAUGAAAAGGUUCGGGCAAAAAUUAGGGAUUAAAAAUGAAAAGAUCGUACACCCGGUAAGUUGAAAACCUGAAAAGGCAACUUAGGCAAAAAUGGGUAUCCCGGUGGAUUGAAAACCCGAAAAGGGCGAUCCAGGCAAAAGUUAGGGAUUAAGCGAAUGACUGCGUUCUGAGUAGUUCUGAAUCUCAUCUCGUGCCAAUGACUGGAAAUUUUUGAAGGAUAGGAAACAGUCCAAUCACUCUUUCAGAAAGCUGAUCAUCUGGAGGAUCUUGAAGACGAGCAAGUCAUAGCAGAAUUGGAACCCAAUAGAAAUCCAUUUCACAUUGCCAUUAGAUUAAUUUCUGUUUUUAUCUUUUGUGCGAUUACCUCUUUCCAGGGAUUGCUUCCUGAUGUAAAUGCCUAUUCAGAGGCCAUUCAAUCAAUAAAAUCAUGUUAUUCAGUAUAUCUCUGUUUUCAUUUUCAUUUUACUGUUUUGUUUGCAAAAAUGACGUCCGAAUUUUUGAUAAACAUUGCAUCAUGACACAUAAGGGCUUUACAGGUACAUGCUUAAUAAACAUUUAAAAUUGCUGUAAAUUUUAAGUGCUUUGGAUCGUCUAUUCAGAACAGGUACACUCGGGGCAUUUCCUUAAGGUCCCCAUCAAAUGAUCACGGAUGUUUUUCCUCAACAGUUGGAAUUUGGUAUCUUAUCCCUGCAAAGCUGGUCCGAGCGUUGGAUUCUUCAAUCCCCAACAGGCUCUCACUGAUGUACUUCCCUAAGCAUUUGUUUCAGAUUAUACAUUCACCAGUAGAGUCGACAGUGUCUGACUGUAUAUCCCCAACGGAGUUGACAGUGCCAAACUGUAUCUUCCCAGUGGAAGCGGCUGCUCCUCAGAGUUCGAUGCCAGAUCGAUGAUCUCGACGCUAGACCCAUGGUCUCUUUCCUUGAAGCAGAAUCUCGGUACCGUAUCGGUGUUUGCUUCCCUUGCUGAGUCGUCUCUCUCGCAGAUUAUGGUUGCCAGAACCACUGUCGCUUUCCUCAGCAGCAAGUUUCCAGUGCCAUUCUAUCCCCAGUCAGAGCCUCGGUAUUUUGUUAUUUUCCAGAACACCGUGUGGCGGGUCAUUUCCCCACAGAGUUCUUUGUGUUGUGCAUCUCCAACAGCCUUGCCAGGGUCCAGAAGAUGGUGAUCAUUUCCCCAGCAGAAUUCCUUGCCUUAGCUUGGCGUUCUCUCUAAUCAAGCAUUUCGCAUCCCUGCAUGUAGAAUCAUAUUGCAUUGCAUCCUCCCAAAUUGUGUAGAAUUUCCAUUUUCAUGGCGCAUUACGCCAUUGAAAAAUUCAAACAUACGCAUGUAAAGCAUAAGGAAUUCUCGGUAUCCCAAGUGAUAAGCAAGAAGUUGUUUCCAGUACUCAGACUGAAGAUUGUUCAUGACUUAUCUUUAUUAUUUCCAGCAGGGGUAGUUGGCCCACGCGCCGCCUCAAUUAUCACUUUCCCUAUUUCUGCUGAUGCUGACAGGCAUGAAAGUUUCCGGUAUUCAGACCGAAGUGGCAUUCAGGAUAGUUUUCCGAUGUUCAGAUCGAAGAAGUUUCCGACAUUCAGGUCGAUGCAACUUGUGGCAUUCAGGCGAGUUUUCUGGUAUUCAGACUGAAGUGGCACUCAGGCCAAUUUCCCGGUGUUCAGACCGAUGUUUGAUAAUCUAAUAUCUUCUGAUGUUCAGAUCGAAGAAGUUUCCUACAUUCAGGUCGAUGCAACUUGUGGCAUUCAGGCCAGUUUUCCGGUAUUCAGACCAAAGUGGCAUUCAGACCAGUUUUCCGAUGUUCAGAUCGAAGAAGUUUCCGACAUUCAGGUCGAUGCAACUUGUGGCAUUCAGGCCAGUUUUCCGGUAUUCAUACUGAAGUGGCAUUCAGGCCAGUUUUCCGGUGUUCAGACCGAUGUUUGAUAAUCAAGUUUCGUUUGAUGCUUAGAUCGAAGUCAUUUCCAGUAUUCAGAUUGAUGAGCGGCAUUCAGGCCAUGGUUAUUUCUGUGUUACCAUUUAUUUUGGAAUUCAGGCUAACAUUCCUUGUUUCGGUGUUCAGACCGACUCUCACCGUACCAGACGGGUUCUUUUUCAAGACCACCUCUUGGCCGAUUCUGACAGGCAUUGUUACUUCAUUUUUUCACUUCAGUGUAAAUUUUCGAGCUUUUAUCGUACUCAAUCACUUGAUACCUCGAAAGUGUGAACGUCGUUGCUAUCUUCCUUUCGGGUUUCCAGUUGAUUGAAUAGGGGCAACUGUAAUACCCUAAAAUUUACCCUUCAUUGUUCUUGGAAGCAUGGGAUUAUGUUUUAUACUUCAUUAGCAUCAUAUUAGGUCAUACCCAUUGCAUACUGCAUUAGUGACAUGGAGAUCAGGUUUUGAUCGAUCACUCCUUAAUAGAAGGACCCCAUAUAAAGUAAGAUUGAGAAUUGGACUUCAUUUUCUAAGUAUACAAGUCUCAAGGGUCUCAGGGGGGGUCCAGGUAUCUCAUUAUGGUCCCCAGUUCAUCAGUGAAAGAUUCAGAGCUAUCAGAGUGUUCAUUUGGACUUAAUCAGGAAAUUAGGGUUUCAUGGCUACCUGCAAUAGGCAAUGUUUGGUUGGAAGUAGAAGAGCUCAUCCAUGUCAUGAUUAUAGAGGCAUCUUGGCCUAGGAAAAUUCACAAUUAUCUCAAAAAGAUCCAUUGGCAAUCAGUGCAAUCAGUUCUUGAUCAUUUUGCCCUAAAACUAGGGUUUGGUAUAAAAUCAGUUUAUUUCUGAUUCUUUGGGUGAAACUCUUUUCCAUGGCCCUCCAUAUGUCCACAAGGGUCUACAUACAAAAAAUCAGCUCUUUAUUUGAGCUAGAAGUGCUUCAAUUGAUCAAUUGAAUCGGGAAUCAGACAGUUUGGGAAAAAUCAACUAUGGGGCAAGAAAAGUCAACUCCUGACAUUUUGAGAGUGGAAUCUCAAAAUCCAUGCCUAGGGGAUCCUAUAUGUGAAAUUUUAUCAAGGUUGGAUCUUGGAUUCAUCAUUUAAUCAGGAAUUGGAAAAGUUACUUAAUUUGGAAAUGGUUGACCUUCCAUUUAGGGCAAGUUUUCAUGAUCGUUGCACUCACUUUAAGCCCAUUUUGCAUCAAGAUAAAAUCUCCAUUUGAAAAUUUCUCCAAAACGAAAGUUGUUCCUCUUGUUCCAAGCUUUCUAGAGAUAUAAAGUUUGCUCCAUUUGGAUUAGAAUUGAGAAAGUUAUUCUUAGUUAAAGUGAGACAUUUUUUUAGGACACUUAGAAAAAUUUCGAAGUCCAAAAUCUUCAAAAUUUGUCAAGACUUCUUGGCCAGUUUUCUUGCACUUCAAGGCAUUAUUUAAAAAUACUUUCUUCACAACAAUUGUAACUUGCCAUGUCCUCUUUCACAUCCUUUUGGAAUCAUAUCAUUUGGACCCAUGGUUUGAGAGAUACAUUCAUUUAAAGUGGGCACCAUGACUUGAUUUUCUAGGAAGAUUUUGGGCAUGGCUUGCCCAAUCAGAUUUUCUAAGCAUGUUGCACAAACCAGUCACGUUUUUUACCUCUUUUGGCCAUGCAUUGGACAUCCAUUCACUUAAGUUUUGCCCAAAAUAACAACAUUUUACACCUCACUUCACACUUUUAUUCUUAUGGAUAAAUCACUUAUUAAAAAGCCCAUGCGAACAUCUAAUCCACCCUAUUUAAGAAGCUGAAACCCUAACCCUAAAGGAGCAUUAGAAUUUCGUGGAAAGGAGGCAAAGUUUCAUCACAUAUCAGAUUCCAUUCCACUUCUAUUUUCCAUUAGAUAAUCAUCUCUUCCAUGGCCAUGUUUUGAUAUAUCUAUGCUUGCUUACCAUGUUCAUCACCAUUAAUCCUUCCAUUUUCAUAUUUCUUUUUCUUAUUUAAAAUAUUUUCUUCGUCCAUAAAAUUA